rnacentral:ncRNA from 1 species
AAAGAGUCAUACGUUGAAGGCCUAGCCAGUCACGGCGGCCCCGAGUCAUGCGUGUGUAUCCGCGAGGGUGCAGGCGAAGCGUUGACAGGGGUACGCGAGGGCCGGGUAUUGAGCCGCGUAAUAGAGCCUCGUGGCGAGAGCCGCGAGAUGUUCGGGGUGCCGAGAUGCUAGGCAGAUAUCGAAGGCCACACCGUUGCUGCCGUAUUGGCGAGGCAGUAGUGGACCCCGCGCGGUCAGAGACCC